AUACGGAGGGUGCAAGCGUUAUCCGGAUUUAUGGUUUAAAGGGUGCGUAGCGGAAUAAUAAGUCAGUUGUGAAAGUUUGCGGCUCAACCGUAAAAUUGCAGUUGAUACUGUUUUCUUGAGUGUACAUAAGGUAGGCGGAAUUCGUGGUGUAGCGGUGAAAUGCAUAGAUAUCACGCAGAACUCCGAUUGCGAAGGCAGCUUACUAAGCUACAACUGACACUGAAGCACGAAAGCGUGGGGAUC
rnacentral:rRNA from 1 species